CAGGGAUUCAAGGAAGCCAUGAAGAGGACGGCUGAAGAGGGGAGAGAGAACCUGUGCUUUGGGAUGUGGGUCCUUGUUGCCUGGAACAGGGAUUUUUGAAACCUACAAACAAGUGACAGAGCACAACAACUCCUUUGCAAGUGGUCUUCUUAGUGGUACAAGCAUACCUUCUUAGCGGUGACCUGACUUUUGGGAGCAGGACAUGGUGCCAUGGGAACAAGUUCAACAGGUGGCACGUCAGAAGAUCCAUAGCGGCCACAGUUCCCUCAACAUUGGACUGCACACGCCCCGCCACGCAUACACAGCAGCAUUUUCUGGUGUUAGGAAAAAGUGUUGAAGUUCAGAGUUGAAAUCACACUGCAAAA